CCUUCUCCUCCUCCUCCUUCUCCUCCUCCUUGAUUUCUUCUUCUUNUCCUCCUCCUCCUCUUUCUUCUCCUCUUUCAUAUUAUCCUUGCAAUUGCUUUAAUUUCCCCAACAAUCACAUAAUUAGUCCAUUUAGCUCCAAAAUACCAUAAUAAGCUCAAAAUGGCAUAAGAACCUUGGUUAGCUCAUGAAUAUUAUAUACUUAGCUUGUUUUCCUCUAAAAUGGGAUAAUUAGCCCAUUUAGCUCAAAAAAGACAUAAUUAGGUAAUUU
rnacentral:lncRNA from 1 species